AAUCAUGUACUUCCAAAAGUUUGAGAACAGGUCAACUUUAGGCCAAUGAUCAAAACACAUUGUAAAAGUCUGGAACUGAUUGAUAGUAAAAAAUUUUCUCUUUCCGCAGAGACAUUUUCUGCUUUUAGAAUUUAAUAUUAAACUAUCCCGAGCUUAUCUUCACGAAGGCCUGUCAUUGCAUUAGCCAAUUGUUUGAAGAAGUCUUUGGCAGCAGUUCCUAUUUAUUUACUGUUUUACUUGGUAAAGCCAGAACACUUUUUAUAUGAUGCACCACCCAAACUAAGUGGUGUUUAUGUAGAAAAAGAAGAGAUAUAUGCUAAUGUCUAAGCGAAAAACUUUCUUUACUUACACCGUGAAAGUAGAGUAUUGAAAAAGAGUCUAAACAAUACCACCAGCAAACUCCAUACAAAUACUGUGGACUAAAAGGCAGAGAGAGGUUAAGGAAAUAGACUGGUCCAAGACAUAAAUGUUUUACCAUCAUCAGUUCAAGAAAUAUCAUGCAAGUGCCCGAACACUUUGGGCUGACAACAGGCCAAAAUCACAGCUAUUGCUGCUACUCUUAAUUCUGCAUCGUUUUGGUUCAGGGGUAACCCCAUCUAAAAGAACUAGGAAGACUUUUUCACCUCCAUCAUGUGCACGGGCUAUAUAGUGUUGACGAACUAUCUCUUCCCCUCAUUUACGGUGAUCUUGACAGAAGCAUCAAUUAUUUCUAUUCCAAUAAGAAACAAAUAAAGAAUAUAAGCAUGCAACAUAGAAAAGAAAUAUUAUUACGUACCAAGCAAGAUUUAAAGGUCCGGUAGUUUGGUGUUCCAAGAACAACUUUUUACUUAAGAGUCGAACAUAAAGAACUGCUUUUAUGCAAAAACUCUUAAGAACAUUGAAAUCCGAUUUCAUCCUUCUCCUAGAGGCCUUGCAUCUCCUGCUCUUUGCAAAAGAUUCUUCCACUGAGGAUGUGAAUAUUUUAUUCCCUCGUCCUCUUGGAGCCAUGCUUUCUGGAUCUUUCUUUUCCAUGAUUUCCUGUGGAAUGGCCUCCAGAACUGACUGAGGCAGGUUGGGCAGACAGAAAAGGCAAAUGAUUUCAUCCUUCUCCUAGAGGCCUUGCAUCUCCUGCUCUUUGCAAAAGAUUCUUCCACUGAGGAUGUGAAUAUUUUACUCCCUCGUCCUCUUGGAGCCAUGCUUUCUGGAUCUUUCUUUUCCAUGAUUUCUUGUGGAAUGGCCUCCAGAACUGACUGAGGCAGGUUGGGCAGACAGAAAAGGCAAAUGAUGCCCAGGAACCAAACCAGGGAACCCAACAGCAGGGAUUCU
rnacentral:lncRNA from 1 species